rnacentral:rRNA from 1 species
UACAGAGGUCUCGAGCGUUGUUCGGAUUCAUUGGGCGUAAAGGGUGCGUAGGUGGCGCUGUAAGUCGGGUGUGAAAACCCCAGGCUCAACCUGGGGACGCCACCCGAUACUGCUAUAGCUAGAGUCCAGUAGGGGAGUGUGGAAUUCCCAGUGUAGCGGUGAAAUGCGCAGAUAUUGGGAGGAACACCAGCGGCGAAGGCGGCACUCUGGGCUGGUACUGACGCUGAGGAGCGAAAGCGUGGGUAGCGAACAGG